rnacentral:rRNA from 1 species
UUCCGGUCUGAUCCUGUCCGGCACCCGCACUGCUAUCAGAGUGGGACUAACGCCAUGCGACGCUCAACGCAGCAAUGCGUGGCAUACGGCUCAGUAACACGUAGUCAACAUGCCCAGGGGACGUGGAUAACCUCGGGAAACUGAGGAUAAACCGCGAUAGGCCAAGGUUUCUGGAAUGGAUCAUGGCUGAAACCUACAUGGCCCCUGGAUUGGACUGCGGCCGAUCAGGCUGUUGGUGAGGUAAUGGCCCACCAAACCUGUAACCGGUACGGGCUCUGAGAGGAGGAGCCCGGAGAUGGGCACUGAGACAAGGGCCCAGGCCCUAUGGGGCGCAGCAGGCGCGAAACCUCUGCAAUAGGCGAAAGCUUGACAGGGUUACUCUGAGUGAUGUCCGCUAAGGGCAUCUUUUGGCACUUCUAAAAAUAGUGUAGAAUAAGGGGUGGGCAAGUCUGGUGUCAGCCGCCGCGGUAAUACCAGCACCCCGAGUGGUCGGGACGAUUAUAGGGCCCUAAAGCAUCCGUAGCCGGUUCUGCAAGUUACCGUAAAAUCACCUGCUCACAGAUGGCUGGGAGGAA